UACGAAGGGGGCUAGCGUUGCUCGGAAUUACUGGGCGUAAAGGGCGCGUAGGCGGCCUACUAAGUCGGACGUGAAAUCCCUCGGCUCAACCGGGGAACUGCGUCCGAUACUGGUGGGCUCGAAUCCGGGAGAGGGAUGUGGAAUUCCAGGUGUAGCGGUGAAAUGCGUAGAUAUCAGGAAGAACACCGGUGGCGAAAGCGCUCUGCUAGGCCGCAACUGACACUGAGGGACGAAAGCUAGGGGAGCGAAUGGG
rnacentral:rRNA from 1 species